AGAUUGAACGCUGGCGGCAUGCCUAACACAUGCAAGUCGAACGGGAGUAGCAAUACUCUAGUGGCGGACGGGUGAGGAAUACGUAGGAAUUUGCCCUUAAGUGGGGGAUAACCCGGGGAAACCCGGAUUAAUACCGCAUGACCUCGAAAGAGCAAAGUGGGGGAUCGCAAGACCUCACGCUUUUGGAGAAGCCUACGUCGGAUUAGCUAGUUGGUGAGGUAAUGGCUCACCAAGGCGACGAUCCGUAACUGGUCUGGAGAGGAUGAUCAGUCACACCGGACUGAGA
rnacentral:rRNA from 1 species